GGAAGUUACUCUUCCUGCCAAAAGGAGUGGAGAACAACCUUCCCCAGUUCCACACCACAGCCAAAUCAAAGACAGAGGCAGCCCUGGACAGUGUGGCUCAGUUGAAAUUGUUUCAGAUUGACAACUGGCCCAAGAAGAUCCUGACCUUAUGGCUGAAGGUCAAGACCUGAAGCUCAGGGUGAGAAGAGCUCGGGGAGCAGCCUCACCCCCUUAUGCUUCGUGGAAUGAGAUCCUCAGGAUGUCUGUUUCCAUUGAGGUGUGUGCCACAGUCACAUGUUCACACUCUGUCCGCCAAAGGCCCAACCAGGAACACAGAGACCUCAGACCCUGACAUGCAGGGCAAUUCAGGGAAGGUGACUGGCCACAAGGUGAUGGUAAGCUGACAAGUUGGACAGGGGACCCUAGACGCACUUGAGAAAUAGGUGAAGGGUGGGACUCCUUGUCUAUCGGUGGUUCAGCAGAACAGAUGAACCCUCCUCUGCCCUCCCGGCACUCGUCUGUAGGGCCAAGGACAGUCAGUGAGUUAAGGAAAUGCUAUCCAAGCAGAAUAAACAUCCUAAAAAGAGUUGCCUACAGUCUUAUCCUUAUUAGAAUGAUUCUUUGCCUUUAUUUGCUUAUUAAAUCAACAAAGUAUUGAGUCAAGAGUUGAGGGAGCAUUUCACGAGCUACCUUUAAUAAAAAUAAAAUGUAGGGAGCUUGUAUUGUUGUAACCGUGUAGAAAGAAAACUGCUGGUUAUCCAAUGACUAGAGCUCCUAUAUCAGAAGCCAAAAUGUUGCCUAGAUGUGUGCCGUGAGUGACUGGACAUGAACCCAGCCCAUUAGCCUCCAUUGUAUCUGACCGAGUGGCCCAGCCCAGCCUGGCUUAUUAUGAGCUCUAGGGAGAAGCCCGUGAGCUCUACACUGGGGAAGAGGCAUAAUCUCCACUUCUGGUUCAGUCCUAAGUCCAUGGCUUUAGAAUGAAAAAGUCACUGCAGCAGGUUGCCCUGGUGACCAGUUGCAGACUUUCAUGGUGCCCCACCCCAGCCCACCCCC